rnacentral:rRNA from 1 species
CCUACGGGAGGCAGCAGUAGGGAAUAUUGCACAAUGGGGGAAACCCUGAAGCAGCAACGCCGCGUGGAGGAUGAAGGUUUUAGGAGGGGAAACUCCUGGUGGGAGAGAAGAGAAUGACGGUAACUCACGAAUAAGCACCGGCUAACUCCGUGCCAGCAGCCGCGGUAAUACGGAGGGGGCAAGCGUUACUCGGAAUCACUGGGCGUAAAGAGUGCGGAGUCGGGCUGGUACGUCAGCUGUGAAAUCCUGUAGCUGAACUACAGAACUGCAUUUGAAACUAUGAGUCUAGAGUGUGGGAGAGGUAGGUUGAAUUCUUGGUGUAGCGGUCAAAUCCGUAGAUAUCAAGAGGAAUACUCAUUGCGAAGGCGACCUACUGGAACAUUACUGACGCUCAUGCACGAAAGCGUGGGUAGCAAACAGGAUUAGAUACCCCUGUAGUC